rnacentral:rRNA from 1 species
CAGGCCUAACACAUGCAAGUCGAGCGGCAGCGGGAAAGUAGCAAGCUACUUUUGCCGGCGAGCGGCGGACGGGUGAGUAACGCNGUGGGUAACCUGCCUUGUACAGGGGGAUAACACAGGGAAACUUGUGCUAAUACCGCAUAAUAUCACGAGAGGACAUCCUUUUGUGACCAAAGGAGCAAUCCGGUAUAAGAUGGACCCGCGUCCGAUUAGCUAGUUGGUGGUGUAACGGACCACCAAGGCGACGAUCGGUAGCCGAACUGAGAGGUUGAUCGGCCACAUUGGGACUGAGACACGGCCCAGACUCCUACGGGAGGCAGCAGUGGGGAAUAUUGCGCAAUGGGGGAAACCCUGACGCAGCAACGCCGCGUGAAGGAUGAAGGUUUUCGGAUUGUAAACUUCUUUAGUCGGGGACGAAAAAAAUGACGUACCCGAAGAAUAGCCCG